CCUGUGCUUCAGUGAGCUGGAGAGCAGAUGCCAGAAGGAAGCGCUCGGAUCCGACCAUAUACUGCUGCCGCGCGAACUCCUUCUCCAGUCGGGACAGUUGCUCAUUGGCCUUGCAAGCAGAGCGUCGAUUGUGAAGGAUUUCCCUGUGCUCGGUUUUGAUGAAGUGGCAUAGUCCGGAUGGAGAGGACGCACUAAUUGUCCAUAAGUUUGAUAAGCUCUUCCAGGCAUCUGCAUGGCUUCUGUUUGGGCCCAUCUGUUCCCAGAAGACGCAGGAGGCAGAUGUUCUUGCCCGUCCAUUCUCCCCCUCUCUCUGUCUCAGUGCCUCUCUUUCAUGCUGACCUGAAAGCAGUAGUUAGCAGUGGUCACUGUGUACAGAAAAAAUGUAUGUCAGAAUAUCAGAAUGGACAAGACUGAGGAAUAUUGUUGAUACAUGAGGCUGUUGAUACAUGGGGCAACUUCUUGACCUAUGUUGCUGUCAAAAGUGGAUUUUAAACACCAACACCAAAGAUCAUGAUAUACUCAUAGAUCGAUUACAAAACUAUAUAAGUAUUCAAGGGCAGGCUCUAAGAUGGUUUAGAUCCUGUCCGAUCUCUACAACUUUGUUUAUUUAAAUGGGGAGUCAUCUCAUUUAUCA